GAUGAACGCUGGCGGCGUGCCUAAUACAUGCAAGUCGAGCGAACAGACGAGGAGCUUGCUCCUCUGACGUUAGCGGCGGACGGGUGAGUAACACGUGGAUAACCUACCUAUAAGACUGGGAUAACUUCGGGAAACCGGAGCUAAUACCGGAUAAUAUAUUGAACCGCAUGGUUCAAUAGUGAAAGACGGUUUUGCUGUCACUUAUAGAUGGAUCCGCGCCGCAUUAGCUAGUUGGUAAGGUAACGGCUUACCAAGGCGACGAUGCGUAGCCGACCUGAGAGGGUGAUCGGCCACACUGGAACUGAGACACGGUCCAGACUCCUACGGGAGGCAGCAGUAGGGAAUCUUCCGCAAUGAGCGAAAGCCUGACUGAGCAACGCCGCGUGAGUGAUGAAGGUCUUCGGAUCGUAAAACUCUGUUAUUAGGGAAGAACAAAUGUGUAAGUAACUAUGCACGUCUUGACGGUACCUAAUCAGAAAGCCACGGCUAACUACGUG
rnacentral:rRNA from 1 species